rnacentral:rRNA from 1 species
UAAGGAAUAUUGGUCAAUGGACGAAAGUCUGAACCAGCCAUGCCGCGUGGAGGAUGAAGGUCCUCUGGAUUGUAAACUUCUUUUAUAUGGGACGAAAAAAGGCUUUUCUAAGUCGUCUGACGGUACCAUAUGAAUAAGCACCGGCUAACUCCGUGCCAGCAGCCGCGGUAAUACGGAGGGUGCAAGCGUUAUCCGGAUUCACUGGGUUUAAAGGGUGCGUAGGUGGGUUGGUAAGUCAGUGGUGAAAUCCCCAAGCUUAACUUGGGAACUGCCAUUGAUACUAUCAGUCUUGAAUACCGUGGAGGUCAGCGGAAUAUGUCAUGUAGCGGUGAAAUGCUUAGAUAUGACAUAGAACACCAAUUGCGAAGGCAGCUGGCUACACGAAUAUUGACACUGAGGCACGAAAGCGUGGGGAUCAAACAGGAUUAGAUACCCUGGUAGUCCACGCCCUAAACUAUGGAUACUCGACAUUUGCGAUAC